rnacentral:rRNA from 1 species
GACGAACGCUGGCGGCGUGCUUAACACAUGCAAGUCGAACGGAAAGGCCCUGCUUUUGUGGGGUGCUCGAGUGGCGAACGGGUGAGUAACACGUGUGUAACCUGCCCUUGACUUUGGGAUAACUUCAGGAAACUGGGGAUAAUACCGGAUAGGAGCUCCUGCUGCGUGGUGGGGGUUGGAAAGUUUCGGCGGUUGGGGAUGGACUCGCGGCUUAUCAGCUUGUUGGUGGGGUAGUGGCUUACCAAGGCUUUGGCGGGUAGCCGGCCUGAGAGGGUGACCGGCCACAUUGGGACUGAGAUACGGCCCAGACUCCUACGGGAGGCAGCAGUGGGGAAUAUUGCACAAUGGGCGGAAGCCUGAUGCAGCAACGCCGCGUGCGGGAUGACGGCCUUCGGGUUGUAAACCGCUUUCGCCUGUGACGAAGCGUGAGUGACGGUAAUGGGUAAAGAAGCACCGGCUAACUACGUG